rnacentral:rRNA from 1 species
UACGUAGGGUGCAAGCGUUAAUCGGAAUUACUGGGCGUAAAGCGUGCGCAGGCGGCUUUGCAAGACAGAUGUGAAAUCCCCGGGCUCAACCUGGGAACUGCAUUUGUGACUGCAUGGCUAGAGUACGGUAGAGGGGGAUGGAAUUCCGCGUGUAGCAGUGAAAUGCGUAGAUAUGCGGAGGAACACCGAUGGCAAGGACGAUCCCAUCCGGCGUGCACUGACGCUCAUGCACGAAAGCGUGGGGAGCAAACAGG